rnacentral:rRNA from 1 species
GAUGAACGCUAGCGACAGGCUUAACACAUGCAAGUCGAGGGGCAGCGGGGAGUAGCAAUACUCUGCCGGCGACCGGCGCACGGGUGAGUAACGCGUAUGCAACUUACCUAUCAGAGGAGAAUAGCUCAUCGAAAGAUGAAUUAAUGCUCCAUAAACAGGGGUCCCGCAUGGGAAUAUUUGCUAAAGAUUUAUCGCUGAUAGAUAGGCAUGCGUUCCAUUAGGCAGUUGGCGGGGUAACGGCCCACCAAACCGACGAUGGAUAGGGGUUCUGAGAGGAAGGUCCCCCACAUUGGUACUGAGACACGGACCAA